GCUUANAUGCAGUCGAGCGGAACGAUGGUAGCUUGCUACCAGGCGUCGAGCGGCGGACGGGUGAGUAAUACUUAGGAAUCUACCUAGUAGUGGGGGAUAGCACGGGGAAACUCGUAUUAAUACCGCAUACGACCUACGGGAGAAAGGGGGCAGUUUACUGCUCUCGCUAUUAGAUGAGCCUAAGUCGGAUUAGCUAGAUGGUGGGGUAAAGGCCUACCAUGGCGACGAUCUGUAGCUGGUCUGAGAGGAUGAUCAGCCACACCGGGACUGAGACACGGCCCGGACUCCUACGGGAGGCANCAGUGGGGAAUAUUGGACAAUGGGGGAAACCCUGAUCCACCCNUGCCGCGUGUGUGAAGAAGGCCUUUUNGUUGUAAAUCACUUUAAACAUUGAAAAACACUCCGUGGUUAAUACCCACGGACC
rnacentral:rRNA from 1 species